UCCCGACUUCCUCGUUCAUCCUGCUGUCAUAUCUCGGGCGCUGCCCUCCGGCAACCGGUGAUGCUCCUCCCGCCACCACUCGGCCUCCUUCCCGAUGUAGCUACGCCGCCGCCGCGUGCAAGAAGUCCAUCGCCUCCACCCCAGGCCGUUCAAUGCCGUCGUCGUGGACGUGCCCCGCUCUAACACCAUGGAUUGCGAUUGAGCGGCAAACAAUGGAACCUGUAGAAGGAGCCUCGGGGUUGAGGACCUCCAGUUCGUCAGUCCAACAAAAGGUUGUAGAAAGUAGAGACUAGUUUGCAUUAAGGUUAGCCCCUUUGUUUAUUCAUCAGUACAAGUUAUUUAGUUCCACUUAGAUUAUGUUCGGUACAUUGCUUCUUAGUUUCCAGUGACAACAAAUUUUACACAUAUAACAACUCCACAUUUUUUAUAUGACACAACACUUUGGGUUGGCUAAAUUUAGGUGAAUGCUCUCUUCUGACUUCAACUGUAACUAAGAAUCUUGCUAAAUAGGUUGCAUUUCGAAUCGAGAGUGCUGCUAAUUGCUAGUGUCACUGCUUGUUUUCUCGACAAGGAAAAAAUAGCUAUUGUUGUUCUGAAGUUUUAGGAAUUUCAAGGAACUGUUUUAGGAAGAAUUAGCUUAUUGAGCUACUGUAGAUGGCUGGCAUUUUUGCCUUGAAGGUGUGUGUGCAUUUCAUAGUUCACCAAUCUUAUCUGAUUUCACUCACUUCCAUUACCAUGUUAUUUCUAGCAUGGCAUGUCUAAAAAUGCAGAAGUAGUGCCAAAAAAAUGUCAUUGUGUUAUGCAUAUAAAAGCUUUAUAAAAAUGCACAAACUGUUGUGUUUUUUGGUAACUCACGGCUGUGUGUAGCUCUUGUAUGUCUUCGGGAUACUUAUGCAUACUGUUGUUUGGUACAUAUCUUCAGUACAAGUUUGGAAGGCCAGGAAGUUCUACAGCUCGCAUACACCGAGUUCAGAGAUGUUGCACGGAGUGAGCCGACACCGCCGUAAAAAAUGGUUUAUGAGCAUACUGUUGUUUGGUACUUAUGCAUACUGUUGUAGAAGUGAAAAUUGUUGGGUGCAUGUGCAGAAAAAUUGUCAGUUCAGUUUUCAAAAUUCUGUAAGUUUUUUUUUAUUUUACAAAAUUCUGUAAGUUUCUCGUGUGUGCUGCUACAAAUCUGAACUAUUUGUCUAGACAUUCUAGUACUGAUGCAAUCGCCUAAAAUAAGUUCAAGAAAAAAUCAGUAAGUUUGGUGCGUGUGCUGCUACAAAUCUUAAAUUCUUCUUGAGUCAUUCUAGUACUGGAAUCUCUUUUAGUCUGUAGCAUAGAGAAUAUUUUUAUGCUCAUUCGUUCAUAGUAUGAAGCUCAUUUAUAGUUUCUUUUCUCAUUCUGUUAAUUAAGAAAAUGCUUAUUGACCUUGAAGCAUAAACCUCUCAGCAAAUGUAACAUUCUGCUGAUAUUCUA
rnacentral:lncRNA from 1 species